rnacentral:rRNA from 1 species
GAUGAACGCUGGCGGCGUGCCUAAUACAUGCAAGUCGAACGCUGGAGAUCUAGCUUGCUAGCUCGAAGGAGUGGCGAACGGGUGAGUAAUACAUAAGCAACCUACCCACGAAGACUGGGAUAAUCUCUGGAAACGGGGACUAAUACCGGAUAGGUAAUCGGAAGGCAUCUUCUGGUUAUUAAAGGUUAAAAACACUGGUGGAUGGGCUUAUGGCGCAUUAGUUAGUUGGUGAGGUAACGGCCCACCAAGACGAUGAUGCGUAGCCGGCCUGAGAGGGUGAACGGCGACAUUGGGACUGGGACACGGCCCAGACUCCUACGGGAGGCAGCAGUAGGGAAUUUUCGGCAAUGGGGGCAACCCUGACCGAGCAACGCCGCGUGAGUGAAGACGGCCUUCGGGUUGUAAAGCUCUGUUGUAAGGGAAGAACGGUAGAUAGAGAAUAUCUAAGUGACGGUACCUUACCAGAAAGCCACGGCUAACUACGUG